rnacentral:rRNA from 1 species
UACGUAGGUGGCAAGCGUUGUCCGGAAUUAUUGGGCGUAAAGCGCGCGCAGGCGGUCCUUUAAGUCUGAUGUGAAAGCCCACGGCUCAACCGUGGAGGGUCAUUGGAAACUGGAGGACUUGAGUGCAGAAGAGAAGAGUGGAAUUCCACGUGUAGCGGUGAAAUGCGUAGAGAUGUGGAGGAACACCAGUGGCGAAGGCGACUCUUUGGUCUGUAACUGACGCUGAGGCGCGAAAGCGUGGGGAGCAAACAGG